GGGGGCGUUUCUGGUUUCGACGGAGAUACUGAACCCUGUGGGGCAUGUCGGGUUGCUGUUCCCGUAAAAAGAUGGCACUUGCUAUAAUUGCAAACGACGAAAUAGAACUAGCUUACGCUGCGUAAUCUACCCUGCUUUUCAUGUGCCCAUUCAUGGAAAUGUCAGGGUCAUUCUGAUGGGAUCGUAUAAAGAUUCGGAGGCUCGUGGAUCUUUGUACUAAACUUUUACGAACCGACGCUUUCAUCGCCUUGUUCAUUCGACUGUGAUUGCGUGCUAAAUGAGUGAACUAAACAUGUAGAACCAUUGGCUGAUGAUUUUCGGACGCGAGUUCGACUCUCGCCGCCUCCACCA
rnacentral:tmRNA from 1 species